GGUCUGCGCAGAAGAAGAGAAGAUGAAAAGGCGGAGCUCCUGAGUUCUGGAGUUUCUGUGCGAUGUUCUUCUGACACUCAGAACCCUGUGUGUUCCCCGGAGGUGAUGGAUCUCCUCAUACCAUCACUCAUCUACACACAGGCACAGAAACACACUGCAGUCAGAUAUUACCUGGGAGGACAAGAUCUCCUCUCAGUUACUGAAGCACUGACACACAC